rnacentral:rRNA from 1 species
GGCUCAGAACGAACGCUGGCGGCAUGCCUAACACAUGCAAGUCGAACGAGACCUUCGGGUCUAGUGGCGCACGGGUGCGUAACGCGUGGGAAUCUGCCCUUUGCUUCGGAAUAACAGUUAGAAAUGACUGCUAAUACCGGAUGAUGUCUUCGGACCAAAGAUUUAUCGCCCUGAGAUAAGCCCGCGUAGGAUUAGCUAGUUGGUGGGUAAAGGCUCACCAAGGCGACGAUCCUUAGCUGGUCUGAGAGGAUGAUCAGCCACACUGGGACUGAGACACGGCCCAGACUCCUACGGGAGGCAGCAGUGGGGAAUAUUGGACAAUGGGCGAAAGCCUGAUCCAGCAAUGCCGCGUGAGUGAUGAAGGCCUUCGGGUUGUAAAGCUCUUUUACUCGGGACGAUAAUGACGGUACCGAGAGAAUAAGCCCCGGCUAACUCCGUG